rnacentral:rRNA from 1 species
GUGAGGAAUAUUGGCCAAUGGGCGAAAGCCUGACCCAGCCACGCCGCGUGAGUGAUGAAGGCCUUCGGGUUGUAAAGCUCUGUGGGGAGGGAAGAAAAAGCGGGAGAGUAACUGCUCUCGUGUUGACGGUACCUCCUUAGCAAGCACCGGCUAACUCUGUGCCAGCAGCCGCGGUAAUACAGAGGGUGCAAACGUUGCUCGGAAUUACUGGGCGUAAAGCGCGUGUAGGCUGACAUGCAAGUCGGGUGUGAAAUCCCAGGGCUCAACCUUGGAACUGCACUCGAAACUGCACGUCUUGAGUACUGGAGAGGGAAGCGGAAUUCCGGGUGUAGAGGUGAAAUUCGUAGAUAUCCGGAGGAACACCAGUGGCGAAGGCGGCUUCCUGGACAGUAACUGACGCUGAGACGCGAAAGCGUGGGGAGCAAACAGGAUUAGAUACCCUUGUAGUCC